rnacentral:rRNA from 1 species
CCCUUAGAUGUUCGGGGCCGCACGCGCGCUACACUGAAGGAAUCAGCACGUCUUUCUCCUUGUCCGAAAGGACUGGGUAACCCGCUGAACCUCCUUCGUGCUAGGGAUUGGGGCUUGUAAUUCUUCCCCACGAACGAGGAAUUCCCAGUAAGCGCGAGUCAUAAGCUCGCGUUGAUUACGUCCCUGCCCUUUGUACACACCGCCCGUCGCUACUACCGAUUGGAUGGUUUAGUGAGAUCCUCGGAUUGGUCCCGGCGCGGCCUCUGGUCGUGCCGGAGUGCCGAAAAGAAUGUCGAACUUGAUCAUCUAGAGGAAGUAAAAGUCGUAACA